rnacentral:rRNA from 1 species
GACCGUGCGAAGGUNGCAUAAUCACUCGUUCUUUAAAUAGGGACUUGUAUCAAUGGCAUCACGAGGGUUGUACGUCUCCUCUCUCCAAUCAGUGAACCUAAUCUUCCCGUGAAGAAGCGGGAAUAUAAAUAUAAGACGAGAAGACCCCAUGGAGCUUUAAACCUUAUGGCAAUUUAAAUUAAACAAUUCCUUAUAUAUUUUAAAUAAUGCAUGAAGGUUUUGGGUUGGGGUGACCGCGGAGUACAAAAUAACCUCCACAACAAAAAGACCUAAAUCUUUAUCUAAGAAUUACUAUUCUAAGAAUCAAAAUAUUGAUGAAAAGUGAUCCGAUAAUCGAUCAAUGGACCAAGUUACCCUGGGGAUAACAGCGCAAUCUACUUUAAGAGCCCAUAUCGACAAGUAGGCUUACGACCUCGAUGUUGGAUCAGGGUAUCCCAGUGGUGCAACCGCUACUAAUGGUUCGUUUGUUCAACGAUUAAAACCCCUACGUGAUCUGAU